UACGUAGGGGGGCAAGCGUUGUCCGGAAUCAUUGGGCGUAAAGCGCACGUAGGCGGCCCUGUAAGUCCGUUGUGAAAGUCAAAGGCUCAACCUUUGAAUGCCGAUGGAUACUGCAGGGCUAGAGUCCGGAAGAGGCGAGUGGAAUUCCUGGUGUAGCGGUGGAAUGCGCAGAUAUCAGGAGGAACACCAAUAGCGAAGGCAGCUCGCUGGGACGGUACUGACGCUAAGGUGCGAAAGCGUGGGGAGCGAACAGG
rnacentral:rRNA from 1 species